UACGUAGGGGGCAAGCGUUGUCCGGAAUUAUUGGGCGUAAAGAGCUCGUAGGCGGUCUGUUACGUCUGCUGUGAAAACCCUGGGCUUAACCCUGGGCUUGCAGUGGAUACGGGCAGACUAGAGGCAGGUAGGGGAGAAUGGAAUUCCCGGUGUAGCGGUGAAAUGCGCAGAUAUCGGGAGGAACACCGGUGGCGAAGGCGGUUCUCUGGGCCUGACCUGACGCUGAGGAGCGAAAGCGUGGGGAGCGAACAGG
rnacentral:rRNA from 1 species